rnacentral:rRNA from 1 species
UGGGGAAUAUUGGACAAUGGGCGAAAGCCUGAUCCAGCCAUGCCGCGUGUGUGAAGAAGGUCUUCGGAUUGUAAAGCACUUUAAGUUGGGAGGAAGGGCAGUAAGCGAAUACCUUGCUGGUUUGACGUUACCGACAGAAUAAGCACCGGCUAACUCUGUGCCAGCAGCCGAGGUAAUACAGAGGGUGCAAGCGUUUAUCGGAAUUACUGGGCGUAAAGCGCGCGUAGGUGGUUCGUUAAGUUGAAUGUGAAAGCCCCGGGCUCAACCUGGGAACUGCAUCCAAAACUGGCGAGCUAGAGUAGGGCAGAGGGUGGUGGAAUUUCCUGUGUAGCGGUGAAAUGCGUAGAUAUAGGAAGGAACACCAGUGGCGAAGGCGACCACCUGGGCUCAUACUGACACUGAGGUGCGAAAGCGUGGGGAGCAAACAGG